GAUGAACGCUAGCGACAGGCUUAACACAUGCAAGUCGAGGGGCAGCACGGGAGUAGCAAUACAACUGGUGGCGACCGGCGCACGGGUGAGUAACGCGUAUGCAACCUACCUAUCAGAGGGGAAUAACCCGGCGAAAGUCGGACUAAUACCGCAUAAAACAGGGGCACCGCAUGGUGAUAUUUGUUAAAGAAAUUGGCUGAUAGAUGGGCAUGCGUUACAUUAGGUAGUUGGUGAGGUAACGGCUCACCAAGCCGACGAUGGAUGGGGGAACUGAGAGGUUGGUCCCCCACACUGGUACUGAGACACGGACCAGACUCCUACGGGAGGCAGCAGUGAGGAAUAUUGGUCAAUGGGCGGGAGCCUGAACCAGCCAAGUCGCGUGAAGGAAGAAGGAUCUAUGGUUCGUAAACUUCUUUUGCAGGGGAAUAAAGUGCAGGACGUGUCCUGUUUUGUAUGUACCCUGAGAAUAAGGAUCGGCUAACUCCGUGCCAGCAGCCGCAGUAAGAC
rnacentral:rRNA from 1 species